CUGCAGAUCAUAGACAGAGAAUAAUGAGAACAGUAUCCAAGGGCCUUGGUGCGCGCACCCCCGCUUUCACUUUGACUCGUGCAUUUCUACAUUGUGACAAAAACUGUCAGAC